UAUAUCAAAACUAAACUGUGACUCGUGUAGUGUAGAUGUCCAGUCAACUGAUGGUAGCGUGGACUGUCCAGGCGAUACGUACUUAGGUAUCGUCAUGAGCUAAUGGUAACAUGUAAACAGUGACUCGUGUAGUGUAGAGAUUGUCCAGUCAACUGAUGGUAGCGUGGACUGUCCAGGCGAUACGUACUUAGGUAUCGUCAUGAGCUAAUGGUAACAUGUAAACAGUGACUCGUGUAGUGUAGAGAUUGUCCAGUCAACUGAUGGUAGCGUGGACUGUCCAGGCGAUACGUACUUAGGUAUCGUCAUGAGCUAAUGGUAACAUGUAAACAGUGACUCGUGUAGUGUAGAGAUUGUCCAGUCAACUGAUGGUAGCGUGGACUGUCCAGGCGAUACGUACUUAGGUAUCGUCAUGAGCUAAUGGUAACAUGUAAACAGUGACUCGUGUAGUGUAGAGAUUGUCCAGUCAACUGAUGGUAGCGGGGACUGUCCAGGCGAUACGUACUUAGGUAUCGUCAUGAGCUAAUGGUAACAUGUAAACAGUGACUCGUGUAGUGUAGAGAUUGUCCAG